rfam:Picea glauca, whole genome shotgun sequence.
GUGUACAUUCUUACAUCAUAGCAUUAAUGCACCAGAUCCCAUUAGAACUCCAUAGUUAACCAUGAUCGAGCUAGAUUAUUACUACGAUGGAUGAUCACUCGAGAAGUCUUAUUAUUUUACAUC